UGGGGAAUUUUCCGCAAUGGGCGAAAGCCUGACGGAGUGACGCCGCGUGGGGGACGAAGGCCUUCGGGUUGUAAACCCCUGUCAGAGGGAAAGAAGGGUGUCGGCGCGAUAACCGCCGGCAUCUGACGGUACCUUCAGAGGAAGCCCCGGCCAACUCUGUGCCAGCAGCCGCGGUAAGACAGAGGGGGCAAGCGUUGCUCGGAAUCACUGGGCGUAAAGGGCGCGUAGGCGGGAUGGCAAGUCAGUCGUGAAAUCUCUCGGCUCAACCGAGAAACGUCGGCUGAUACUGCCGUUCUUGAGGGAUGCAGAGGAGACUGGAAUUCCCGGUGUAGCGGUGAAAUGUGUAGAGAUCGGGAGGAACACCGGUGGCGAAGGCGGGUCUCUGGGCAUCUCCUGACGCUGAGGCGCGAAAGCGUGGGGAGCAAACGGGAUUAGAUACCCCGGUAGUCCACGCUGUAAACGAUGACGACUAGGUGUGGGGUGGUUCAGUCCAUUCCGUGCCGCAGCUAACGCAUUAAGUCGUCCGCCUGGGGAGUACGGCCGCAAGGUUGA
rnacentral:rRNA from 1 species